rnacentral:rRNA from 1 species
CACAAGCGGCGGAGCAUGCGGAUUAAUUCGAUGCAACGCGAAGAACCUUACCAAGGCUUGACAUACACCGGUAACGCCCAGAGAUGGGUGCCCCUUUGUGGUCGGUGUACAGGUGGUGCAUGGUUGUCGUCAGCUCGUGUCGCGAGAUGUUGGGUUAAGUCCCGCAACGAGCGCAACCCUCGUCCUAUGUUGCCAGCGGGUCAUGCCGGGGACUCAUGGGAGACUGCCGGGGUCAACUCGGAGGAAGGUGGGGAUGACGUCAAAUCAUCAUGCCCCUUAUGUCUUGGGCUUCACGCAUGCUACAAUGGCCGGUACAAAGGGCUGCGAUACCGCGAGGUGGAGCGAAUCCCAGAAAGCCGGUCUCAGUUCGGAUUGGGGUCUGCAACUCGACCCCAUGAAGUCGGAAUCGCUAGUAAUCGCGGAUCAGCACGCCGCGGUGAAUACGUUCCCGGGCCUU